rnacentral:rRNA from 1 species
GACGAACGCUGGCGGCGUGCUUAACACAUGCAAGUCGAACGGAAAGGCCCUGCUUUUGUGGGGUGCUCGAGUGGCGAACGGGUGAGUAACACGUGAGUAACCUGCCCUUGACUUGGGGAUAACUUCAGGAAACUGGGGCUAAUACCGGAUAGGAGCGCCUGCUGCAUGGGGGGGGUUGGACAGUUUCGGCGGUGGGGGAUGGACUCGCGGCUUAUCAGCUUGUUGGGUGGGGAGUGGCUUACCAGGGCUUUGGCGGGUAGCCGGCCUGGGAGGGUGAACGGCCACAUUGGGACUAAGAGACGGCCCAGACUCGUACGGGAGGCAGCAGGGGGGAAUAUUGCACAAUGGGCGGAAGCCUGAUGCAGCAACGCCGCGUGCGGGAUGACGGCCUUCGGGGUGGAAACCGCUUUCGCCUGUGACGAAGCGUGAGUGACGGUAAUGGGUAAAGAAGCACCGGCUAACUACGUG